CGAAAUGCGAUAAUUAAUGUGAAUUGCAGAAUUCAGUGAAUCAUCGAGUCUUUGAACGCACAUUGCGCCCCCUGGUAUUCCGGGGGGCAUGCCUGUCCGAGCGUCAUUGCUGCCCUCAAGCACGGCUUGGGUGUUGGGCUUCCGUCCCUGGCAACGGGGACGGGCCCAAAAGGCAGUGGCGGCACCAUGUCUGGUCCUCGAGCGUAUGGGGCUUUGUCACCCGCUCCCGUAGGUCCAGCUGGCAGCUAGCCUCGCAACCAAUCUUUUUAACCAGGUUGACCUCGGAUCAGGUAGGGAUACCCGCUGAACUUAAGC
rnacentral:misc_RNA from 1 species